GACGAACGCUGGCGGCGUGCUUAACACAUGCAAGUCGAACGGAAAGGCCCUGCUUUUGUGGGGUGCUCGAGUGGCGAACGGGUGAGUAACACGUGAGUAACCUGCCCUUGACUUUGGGAUAACUUCAGGAAACUGGGGCUAAUACCGGAUAGGAGCUCCUGCUGCAUGGUGGGGGUUGGAAAGUUUCGGCGGUUGGGGAUGGACUCGCGGCUUAUCAGCUUGUUGGUGGGGUAGUGGCUUACCAAGGCUUUGACGGGUAGCCGGCCUGAGAGGGUGACCGGCUACAUUGGGACUGAGAUACGGCCCAGACUCCUACGGGAGGCAGCAGUGGGGAAUAUUGCACAAUGGGCGGAAGCCUGAUGCAGCAACGCCGCGUGCAGGAUGACGGCCUUCGGGUUGUAAACCGCUUUCGCCUGUGACGAAGCGUGAGUGACGGUAAUGGGUAAAGAAGCACCGGCUAACUACGUG
rnacentral:rRNA from 1 species